GUGAUCCAAAAUUAUGUCAUACUGGGAUGUAUGCUAUUCUCUAUAUGCAACAUUGGGAUGGAAGUGGUCUUAAUAGAACCAUUAAUUCUGAACACAUGAGCCUUGAAAGAUUGAAAUUUGCAACUCAUAUGGUUCUUGAUAGCGAAAACGAAAUUGGUGAAAU